GUAGAAUAAACUUGCAUAAUAGUGCAAUGAUGUCUGAUUGCACAUGGACAAACUGGCGGUUCUGCUGGGUGGAAGGUGUCAGUGAUUUGGUCUUUUGUGUGACAAUACCUGUUGCCGCUGUGGAGCGAAAGCGUCUGUUUCUGCAACACAAGUGGCUUUGUGAUAAGUGAUUAGAAUUGAAGACGAGGGCCUUGUCAGCACACACUCUUCAGAUUUGAGGUCAGACUGGCCCCCUGAUUGUGUGUUUUUUUUUAGGGGGAGGCUGGAGGGAGAGAGUUUACUGUCGCUUCAUUGAAGCCUCCAUCACCACCUGCUGAGGUUUGAGUCCCCACUGUCUGUUUCAUCGUUCUCCGCAUCCACCCCUCCUCAUCCUCCCUUUUUCUCUCUCAUUUCCCUCUUCUCAGCCCCCACCCACUCUGGCCCACCGCCUGCUCUUUUGCUCACCCCCCAUGUUCGCAAAUCACUUCUUCCCGUGUCAGCAGGUAAAUUGUUUUGUCCUCCCGCUCCCUGCUUUCAUUACCUUGUGUAAAUUAAGCGAUAUGUCGUCCACCAGUGCGCGCCAAAGCACUCGCCGCGCCAACGCCAAAAUCAUGAGAUUUGGCAUAAUAAAUGAAGACAAACUGGCUGUAGCAGUGCUCCUCUCCAUGCGGGCUUGCCUUCAUUAUUCGCUUAACUUGCCGGAGAAAAUGACUUAACCCUGACCCGUGUAUUACGUCCCAAAUUCACUCCAGAUAAAAGCCUUUUUACAGCGCACAACAAUUUAUAUUCCGGCAAAGAGGCUGCUUUUCUCUGUCAGUUUUCCAAUCUCAGCUCCUCAACACACGUCAUUAAACUUGUCUUGCCUUCCUGUAUUUGUCCAUCAGUCCUCCUUUUUACAUAAAAUCUGGCAGCAUUAUUCUGGGAUUUGAUGGCACACGCUCAUUUUUUCCCCUUGGAAUGUUUGAUUGGAAGAAAUAUAGCCAGGCCUAGGCUAUCUCCUCUCCUCUGUGGAAUCAUGCACUUGAUGAAAUAGUGUUCCCCCAGCAAGAAUAAUAAAAACAGACUUGUGCAUUACAGGGGGCUCUCAAUCUGCCAGCUGAGCUGAGCGAAAAAACCCACCCUGCCUCGUGACAGAUUUUUAUAGUUAUCCCUGCAGAUAAAUGGAAACGGCUGACCAGGCUGGGAAAGGCCACUCUGAAAUGAGGGGCCGGUGCUCUCUCUCUCCAGAGGUGUCAGCAAUAUCAAGCUCACUUAAAUGUGAAAGUGGGGCGAUCCACAGAAGAUUUUGGGCCAACCGGCCACUAAUUACACACACCAGGGCUAUUUAGGCUAAGUAGUGGCAGCCCUGGAGGCGCCGGUUCCACAUGCUUGGUUCUCCUGUUCAUUGGUACACGUACUUUUACGCCACUGG